UCUCUCUUUCAGUCUCUCUCUCUCACUCUCUCUUUCUCACUCUCCUUUCGUCUUCUCUUCGCUUCAACUUCACCGUCCUUUCCUCCCUUUGCCACGACACGUUCUCAAAGCAUGCUCUGAAACACGUGGAAAGACUUCUCCGAUCAGCCAUCGAAUUCUUUUUCAUUACGUUCAUUAGCUAUUUCACUAUAAUUAUUCGUUGGAAUGCUGAAACAUUGUUAAGAAAAAAAAAAAAAAAAAAAAAAAAAAAAAAAAAAACGAAAAAGAAAUUUCAUUUUCUUAAAUGAGAAUCGAUCUUUUUAAAUUUUUUCAAAAUGGCUUUCUUCUUCUUUUCUUUUCUUUUCUUUUUUCUCUUCUUUCCACUUUUAAUAACAUCUCAUUCUCGAUCGAUUUUAUUCCCACGAGAUUUUCUUCUUGAAGUGACUAAACGAUCUGUCUGUGUAUAUACUACGAGUUCGCGAUUUUUGACCCCAAACCGCGACAGUCGCGUUAUGUACACCCUUGAGCAUUCAGGUACUACGUACAUAGCAUGCGGAAGUGUAUGUAAAAGGGGUGCAGUCUUCAGAUACAUUCCGACCUAAAAGUUAACUUGAUAGGGGCUAAAUUUUUCUCCCUACUGACGUUUCAUCCCUCUUUUUUCUUCUUUUGUUUUAUUUUUUUGAUUAUACAUUAUUCUUUAGUCUUACCCUUCUUUUUUAAUAACGAUGCUUACAUAAGUUCGGAGAAAUUUCGAAAUUCAUGGGACGUGGGUAUGUAUAUCGUUAAGGCUGGGUGUCGUUUUUAAUUAUUCUACGUUGACGUUGAAGAACCGCUAACAAUAGCCCAUUCUCGCGGUGUAUCUCUUUGACAAGAAUAAUUUCUACUUUUUUAAGUUAAAAGGGAGAAUACGUUAAAACCGCUAAGUGGCACGUACACUCGCAAAAUCUACGCUUGCUACUUUGGGUAACUUGUUAUUUGUAAGUUCAAAGAGAUCGUUGGGGUAGAUGUCAUUCCCAUGUGACUAGAUUUGAGAAAGAGAGAAAGAGAGAAAGAGAGAGAGAGAGAGAGAGAAAGAGUGAAAGAGAGAAAAAGAAAGAUUGGAUAUUCUUAAGAAAAAAUUGAAAAAGUUUGCAUACACGAGUUCAAGAAAUUAACGUGAUUACAUAAUUCUAAAGUGGUAAGUGUUAUGAUACAUUUAGAGUUAGAAGUAUAAGGAUAGAUUUAGAAUCAGAAAUCAUAUGAUAAUAAAGAAGAAAAAGAUGAAAAAAAAUAAAAUAAAAAAGAACAGUCAACAUCUUAUAUUUCUUAUGAAUGGCAUUUACCAGUUUAUGCAAUCGUCCCUUGUCUCUUUAUUUCAAGCACUACUGCUCGACUCCACAAAUUUUCCCUUGAGAAAUAUCCAACACGAAUGCUCGAGGACUUGAAGAACCCCCACCGCGUCUUUAGAGAUGCAUGAAUAUUAAUAUUCUCAAGUACACUGUGUCGUACGCCAUCCAAAUUCUGAUGCACCGAUUAAGCAUCAUAGUAAGAAAGGUUUUGGGAGAUAUGUAAGAUAGGUUGUAAAAAGAUAGUUAAUACAUCGAAUUAGUCGAUUAAUCGAAUGGAAUGAUAAAAUUGAUCGAAUUGUUAAAAAUGUAUUUUUAUUUUUUUUUUUUUUUUUUCUGUACGAUCGUGGUUAAAUAUGAUAUCUUAUUGAUGUUUCUGUCAAUGAAAUAAAAAAUUUGGGGUAUAGAAAAUUUUGCUUGAUGAACGUGACGAAGGGUCUUAUAAUCAUAAAGAAUAAUUUUUUCUUAACGAUAGAAAAUUUUUUGAAUUUUUAAGAAUGUUAGAGAGAAAGUGAGAGAGAGAGAUUGAGAGUGUGAGAGAGAGCGAGAGAGAGAGAGAGAGAGAGAGAGAGAGGUGAACCGGCUACUUUUGCGUCAUUCUGUACCGGCAGCAGCAGCAACCCUGGGGUGGUGGGCGGUGGAUGGAGCUGCGGCGGGCGUUUUUCAAAUAAUUACAUCGGGCUGCGGUGGUGGUGGGUUGCCAUGGCAACCGCAGUGCCUUCAGCAUCCUACGGGCGAAGGCAACCGGGCAACCGAGCGACGCAACCGGGUUCUCUCUAUCUCUUUCUCUUCCGAUGUUGAACGUGUACUUCCUCCGGAUCGGUCCAAACUGGUUCACUCUCUUCUUCGCUUGCUCUCGAAACGCCCUUUUAUCCUACGGCGAAUUAUCAGGAUGGACUUUUAAGAACGCUCCCUUGUUCUUUAUGUUCAGUUUUAUCGACAUCCAACCUAAACUCUUAAGGUCAAAAUUUUCUUUCGCGAUCGAUGCAUUAUUUAGAACGAUAUAUUUUUUUCUUUUAUUUUUCUUCUUAUUUUAAUUUUUUUUUCUUUCUUUGUUUUAUUUUUUCUUUUUUCCUCAUUUUUUUUUUCGUUUCGUUGUUUUCUUUUUCGUUUGGAAAGAUUCGAUCAAACAGGGGAACGAUGGCUCCGUUCUCGAGCGGUUUCGUUGCUCGCUGUUGGUUAACGACGGUGACGAAGUUCGAAGCACGGAAAGUUCAACGGGAUCUAAAGUUUUCUAAAGUUUCUCGAGGCACCGUACUUUCAACCGUACGCAGUGCGUAUUAUCGUGACAUUUCCGCGAGCAUAAAUUUUGCAGUAGUCGAAGUACCUCUCGAUGUAUUAUACCGAGAUUCUGAGUGGAAGAUAAAUUUUAUCUCGGAGGCCCCGCUCCGAAAUUAGGUCAGUCGCCAUUACGUAGGGGAAAACGAAAUGCAUCGCUUAAUUUCUGUCGUACGAGUUGCACCGAAAAUGAUAGAUAGUCGUACCGACUAAAAUUAAAUAUUUAUACUUUUCGCUUGCGUUUUAUGUAUAAUCAAAACUAUAUAUUAUUAUUUAAUAAUAUUUCAACCGUAAUAUUUAUACUUUCUUUCAUUUUUCUUUUUUUCAUUUUUCCUUUUUUUUCUUUUGCAUUACGUUUGAUCGACAUUCAAUUUGACGAAGGAAACUGCGUUGUGGUAAAAUUCUGCAAAAGGGCAAAGGGAUUGAAGUCGCGUCGAUGUAAUGUCCACGACGUCACCUCCUCCAUCUUUCGACAGCUCACUCGACCCAGUACCGACUUGUACAUCCAACCUAUCCUAGCACAGGUCAAGCAGGAUUCUAACGAGCGCGCGCGCACACGCUAGAAAGAGAGAGAGGGGGGUUUCAGGAUGAAGCGGGAAGGGGUAGAGAAGGCAAGAGAAAGGUGGAGCAAUGGAGUGGGGUCAGUUCGUGACCCGACCACCUGUGGAAGCAGCCGGUAGCUACUUCUUGUUUGCCGUUUGCGCAUACCUACUUACCACUUAUAUGUACUACGUAUUACUAAGGCGAACUAUACCAGCCGAUGACCGUGGUCAUGGCUAGCUCCAAAAUUACACUCCUGCUUUUCCGAGAAUUCUUCGUCUUCGCGCUAUCAUCUUGGUUACCGAUUGCAUUGAUUUCUGCGAGCUUAUAAACAGCCUGCAAAUGAUAAUAAUGAAAUUUUAAGAGGGCGGGUAUUUUUUCUUUAUUUUUUUUCUUUUUUUUUUUAUAAAACAGAACAGAAUAAAUAGAAAUUUUAUAUAAAAUAGACUUAAAAUAAUACAUUUUUAAAGAUCCGCUCUGAAAGAAUAUAUAAUACAUUCUUGAAACAAAAACGAAAAAAAAAAAAAAAUAAAAAAGAAAAUGUACAUUACUCGAUUUGUAAAAGACCACGAUUAGGACUUAACAGACGAAUCGUUGAAACGGAGAAAGGGAUUAUCGAAUUGCAGUUAAAUGGGGAAAGAUAUUUUCGAAGCAUGGCUUAUAUUUUUGGGACAACCUCUUCGACCCAUAACGCAGGAGAACAGCUGUAUCGGUGGUUGUAAUAGCGCCGCGAAAUACAGACGCUCACGCACACACUAUGAUAUACAGCUAGAUCUGCGUAUACAUUGCCGUAGGUAUAAUAUACGUGGCGCUUAAUAGUACUACGGCCAUUCAUGCCGCGAGUCGCCGGCAGCUUAGCGCUCUAUUAAUCACGGAUUAUUAUUCAUGCGCCUACCACGACGACGGUGGCGCUUUUAGCGCCACUGACUUUUGUCGCCCCAUUGCCUUUGAGCUCGUCUCCUGCUCAUUUUUUACUCCUCUUGCUCUCUCUUUCUCUCUCUCUCUCUUUUUCUUUCUCUCAACCUUUUCUCCCAUUCCUUCAUUUUCGCCCUUCUCUCGUUUCUCUAUCUCCUCAUUUAGCCUUCAUAAUGAUUCUUUUCGGCUUCUUUCGGUCCCACUUCAUUAAGCAGCACGUGGUCCAAGUUGCAUAUCGGUCUAUCGGAUCGUAUUGUGAGAAAUAAAAAUGGAAAGAAGAAAGUAAAAGAAAAAGUUCAAGGAAAAGGAAACGUUAUAACCUUGUAAUAAGAUUAACAUCCGAUUUGUAUUAAUCGAUUCUAAUUGCAUAAAAGAAAUCGCAUGCGUGACGGUUGCGAAAAAAAUUUGGACGAACGUUGAACAUCGCCUUCCGUCCUCAUUCUAUUUGGAUCUGUAUUUAAUUUAAAAUAGAUCAUUAUGAGUAGGAAAUAAAAAGUCGUUGGUGUUGUCUAAAAGUCAUGAAGAAAAAUAAGGAAAAAAAAAAAAAAAGAAAAAAAAAAGAAAUAAAAAAAAAAUAAAAAAAGAUCAUAUCCUUCACUUAGGAUAGCUGCUUGCAUUGGGUCUGACUUGAAGAAGUUCCAUACCAUUCGUGUCUAGAUUUAAUACUUUCCCGAGUACGGGUGGCAGACGUAACUUUUUUAUUUUAGUGCUGUAAAUAACCGUGUCACUUGGUUAAUUUCGUUUUCACCACUUUCAUCCGAGCGAAGGAAGGAAGGAAGGAAGGAAGGAAGGAAGGAACGAACGAACGAACGAACGAACGAACGAACAUACGUACGUAUGUUGAAGAAGAAGAUAGAGAGCUCCCUCACGCUCGUCGCAUUUAUGUCUUUAAACUCUCGCAUGCCGUCGUCGAGAAAGAGGAAGAAGAGGAUGAGAGAAGGAAGAAGAAAAAGAAAAAGGAGAAGGAAAAGAUAAAAAAAGAAAAUUAAUAACCUCGUAAUCAAUUCUUGAGAAAGAUUUUUAAUCGUUUGGAUAAUUAGUAGAACAUCAAGUGUUAAAAUGAAAUGAGUUAAAUGAAUGAAAAG